rnacentral:rRNA from 1 species
CCUACGGGAGGCAGCAGUGAGGAAUAUUGGUCAAUGGACGAGAGUCUGAACCAGCCAAGUAGCGUGAAGGAUGACUGCCCUAUGGGUUGUAAACUUCUUUUAUAAAGGAAUAAAACGAGGCACGUGUGCCUUUUUGCAUGUACUUUAUGAAUAAGGAUCGGCUAACUCCGUGCCAGCAGCCGCGGUAAUACGGAGGAUCCGAGCGUUAUCCGGAUUUAUUGGGUUUAAAGGGAGCGUAGAUGGGUUGUUAAGUCAGUUGUGAAAGUUUGCGGCUCAACUGUAAAAUUGCAAUUGAUACUGGCAGUCGUGAGUACAGUUGAGGUAGGCGGAAUUCGUGGUGUAGCGGUGAAAUGCUUAGAUAUCACGAAGAACCACGAUUGCGAAGGCAGCUUACUAAACUGUGACUGACAUUGAUGCUCGAAAGUGUGGGUAUCAAACAGGAUUAGAUACCCCUGUAGUC